GGGGAGACAGGGGAAUUUAAAGGGUGUCAGUACUGAGGGGAGCCUGGGGCACUUGAUGGGGACCAGGGGUCCUGUGAGGAACCAGGAGGAUUUGAGGGGGACUGAGGACUUGGAGGGCAGCCAGGGGGACCUCAGAGGGACCAGGGGUUUAGGGGAGCCGAAGNNNNNNNNNNNNNNNNNNNNGGGGACCUGAAAGAUGCUGGAACUGGAGCAGGAGCAGGGGUUCUGAGGGGAGCCAGGGGCACUGAGCGUCACAGGAUUUGCCUGAAGGGAGCCUGCAGCUCCAGCCAGAUGUGCAAUCCUGGCACAGAUCAGAGCACACACAGAACUGGAAGUUGAGUAUUUCUGAGGCUUUCCUAAGUGAGGGAAAGAAUUAUUACAGUAAAGGUACAAUAUCAUUCUUUAUUACAGUUUUUUAUACCACCCAGCUAACUUUCCUGAAUUUGUUGAUUAUGAUUUUCCCUCCUGAAAUAGAUUCUGUAAUUAACAGUUUGUAUCUUUUCAUGCCAGGCCGGAGGGGGCUUGGAACAACCUGGACUAGUGGAAGGUGUCCCUGCCUGAUGCCAAGGUGAGCUGAAGGAUGAUUUUUUCCUUACUGGGACAUGUGCCCUGUUUGUCUCCAGUAUUUUUCUGGAAGAAACCAACAUUUUCUCGUUUAUCCUCGCAGCGGUGGCAGCACUGAUGUCCCUUUCAGACUGAAAUCCAGAGGCUGAUUGCCCUCCCUGGCCCUGGGAGGGUCGGGCAGUGCCAGCCGUGUCCUGCUGUCCCCUUCCUGCCCUUCCUGCAGCACGCUGGGUGUGGGACGAGCGCCGAGGGUCCCGUGGGAGCGCAGGAAGCGCCGAUCCAUGGAGAGGCGAGCAGGGAUGGCCGGAACCAGGACAUUCUGGGGAGCUCCCAAGGUUUGCAUCACACUUCUGCCACAGCUGACUUGGACCCUUUGGAACUGGAAACAAGGCUUGGUUCAGGCAGUGGCUCUAAAAAGCAUUCUGAGGGACCAUGUGGAGGCCAGGAGCAGCUCAGACUCAGGUGGUGAAAGCACAGCACCAUUUCCCUGCCUUGAGGGAAGAAGGUCUCUGAACAGCCAUGCAUCAAGUGAAAUGAAGUGGUUUAUGUCCCAGAGGAGUCUGCAGCUCAUCCACAACAUGAUACCUGCAUGUUUUGAGAGGUUCUCUGGACUUUCUGCCAGGGCUCCUUAUCCAGUUCAUGACAGAGUGGCUUGGGAGGGGAAUGUGCUGUUCAGCAUCUCAGGUAAAACCCAG
rnacentral:lncRNA from 1 species